UCCCUGGUGGCUCAGAUGGUUAAGCGUCUGCCUCCAAUGCGGGAGACCUGGGUUCGAUCCCUGGGUUGGGAA
rnacentral:tRNA from 1 species